CCCAAAAGGACGCAGAGUUGGCUUAUUUUCUCCUGAACAGCUUCUACUCUGUGGGCCUUCACUCUAAAGCCGCCUACACAAGCAAAACCGAGAGGUAGGGCGCAGAGCAAAGAGGUAAAGCCCAGACCAGGAACGUUCUGGAAUUGUUUGCGCCCAUGUUUGCAUCUUGAAAAGGUCGGAGGCAAUGAGGUCAAAGUACGAACGGAUGCGCCCCUGUUCUACCCCUUGUCUUCAUCAUAUCCUGCUCCAUAUUCAUUCCAUCAUCCAGGUCUUCAGCAACUCUCUUCACCACCACCACCAGUGUCUAGACCUCAGGGGGAAAUAUCCUCACAGCAUAACUACCCCCCUGUACCUGUACCACGUCACGAUGGCGUCUAAUUGCCAAAGACUCUUCUCACAUUUUUUUUAUUUUUUAUC